UACGAAGGGUGCAAGCGUUACUCGGAAUUACUGGGCGUAAAGCGUGCGUAGGUGGUGAGUUAAGUCUGUCGUGAAAUCCCCGGGCUUAACCUGGGAACUGCGUUUGAAACUGGAAGGCUUGAGUGUGGCAGAGGGGGGUGGAAUUCCACGUGUAGCAGUGAAAUGCGUAGAGAUGUGGAGGAACACCGAUGGCGAAGGCAGCCCCCUGGGCUAACACUGACGCUCAUGCACGAAAGCGUGGGGAGCAAACAGG
rnacentral:rRNA from 1 species